UACGAAGGGGGCUAGCGUUGUUCGGAAUCACUGGGCGUAAAGGGCGCGUAGGCGGCUUUGUAAGUCGGGGGUGAAAGCCUGUGGCUCAACCACAGAAUUGCCUUCGAUACUGCAUGGCUUGAGACCGGAAGAGGUAAGUGGAACUGCGAGUGUAGAGGUGAAAUUCGUAGAUAUUCGCAAGAACACCAGUGGCGAAGGCGGCUAACUGGUCCGGUUCUGACGCUGAGGCGCGAAAGCUAGGGGAGCAAACGGG
rnacentral:rRNA from 1 species